GAACGAGCACGCGUCCGAAUUCGAAACGACGGGAGAGGGAGCCUUUUGAAGAAGAACGUUCCAACAUCUGUCGGUGAUCUCUUCGUGAAGAGGUAAGCAUAGGUUUCAUUCUGGCUUUGGUUUUACUUUCUUGUGAAUUUCUACUUCAUCAUUGCCCUCACUGUGUAUGUUGCUGGAUUUUUCAUCAUCGCCCUCACUAAAGCAUAGGUUUCAUUCUGGCUUUGGUUUUACUUUCUUGUGAAUUUCUACUUCAUCAUUGCCCUCACUGUGUAUGUUGCUGGAUUUUUCAUCAUCGCCCUCACUGUGUAUGUUGUUGGAUUUUUUUUUACUCGUGUCUGUUUCUUCACGUUCAAAUCUCUUCCCUGAUUCUCCUUGGGACCAUCUGUUUCUACUUGAGGGAAGGAGGCAAUUUUUGGUUUUGGUCAAUGUUUCUUUUUUUUUAAAAUUUUACUUUUAAUUAAUCUUUAAUGUAAUUGAAAACCCAUUGUUGGAAAAUGCAUCGCGUGGUUAAAGUGGUUGAAGACCUUUCAUUUCAC
rnacentral:lncRNA from 1 species